CUGGCGGCACGCUUAACACAUGCAAGUCGAACGAACGGAGAUAGCUUGCUAUCAAAGUAGUGGCGGACGGGUGAGUAACACGUGAGCAAUCUGCCUUUAAGUGGGGAAUAACGGGCUGGAAACGACCGGUAAUACCGCAUAAUAUAGCGAAACCGCAUGAUUUUGCUAUCAAAGAUUUAUCGCUUAAAGAUGAGCUCGCGUCUGAUUAGCUAGUUGGUGAGGUAACGGCUCACCAAGGCGACGAUCAGUAGCCGGACUGAGAGGUUGAACGGCCACAUUGGGACUGAGACACGGCCCAGACUCCUACGGGAGGCAGCAGUGGGGAAUAUUGCACAAUGGGCGCAAGCCUGAUGCAGCGAUGCCGCGUGAGGGAAGAAGGUUUUCGGAUUGUAAACCUCUGUUGACAGGGACGAUAAUGACGGUACCUGUUCAGAAAGCUCCGGCUAACUACGUGCCAGCAGCGGC
rnacentral:rRNA from 1 species